rnacentral:rRNA from 1 species
UUCGGAGGGUGCAAACGUUGCUCGGAAUUAUUGGGCGUAAAGCGCACGUAGGUGGUCUAUCAAGUCAGGUGGGAAAGCCCUGGGCUCAACCCAGGAAGUGCACUUGAAACUGACAGGCUUGAGUAUGGAAGAGGGUCGCGGAAUUCCCGGUGUAGAGGUGAAAUUCGUAGAUAUCGGGAGGAACACCAGUGGCGAAGGCGGCGACCUGGGCCAAUACUGACACUGAGGUGCGAAAGCGUGGGGAGCGAACCGG